rnacentral:lncRNA from 1 species
AUGUCGUGACUCGCGCCUUUUUCUUCUGGGGCAUGUCCAGAGCACACUUAUACUUUUUACUUAAUUAAAUAACAAAAAUUAACUUUUAUUAAUAUAUAGAAUAUGUAGAAUCGUUACAUCCCCUGAAUAAUGUAAAUCAACUACAAUACAAUACGAGACUCCAAAAUUUUUCUUUUCUUACAAUACAAGAGUACUAACUGGUAACCUAAUCUAUAACUUCUCAACAUCUUUUUUCGUAUCACAUACUAUUUUGCAGUGGAAUCCUAAUUAUUUGAAAAUGAUGGAGGAGUAACAUACACUACUCUAAUAAGCAAAUAUCCUGACAGAGUCUCCCCCUAUAUUUUCCUCAAUUUUUUGUAGUCACUCUGUCAGAAUCUUCCCUUAAAAAUACUUCAAUUUUCUCUUUUCACUUGAGCAGAGUCUCCAUUAUAUUUUCAUCAAUUUCCUUGUAGGACAUGUUGCUUUAACUCUAGUAAAGUCUUGGCUUAAUUUUUAAGUUUUUUCUCUAAAGAAUCUGGCAAAGUUAUGGGAUGUUCUUGUGCAAUAUCUUAAGCCCGCGGGUUCUCCCUUGGUUGGCUAUGAGCUUUUGCUCUCUUUUUCUUUUCUUUCUUUAUUUUUCUCCUUUUCUUCUUCCAUUCUCUCUCUUCCUCUCACAAGUUGGGUACAGUUUUCUCAAGGAAUAACUCCCAAAUUCCAUCAAUUUCCCUCACUUUUAUUGGAUUUCUUCUCUUUUUCUCUCUUUUUCCUCUUCUCUUUCUCUCUCUUAUAUCUCUCUCUAAACUUACUUUCUCUCAACUCCAAAAUGAUUUCCCCAUCUCCCCACACCCCUAUUUAUAAGGGAGGGAUGUCCAUGCAAGUUGUUAAGCAUGGAAGAGGUGGAAAAACUUGAUUGGUCAUUUAAACCUCCUCAAGCUUCAUCAUUAUCCUUAUCUCUUUCUUUCCUUAGCCUUUAAGUAAUUUUAGAGUAUUAUAAUCCUAUCUAGACUAUCCCAUGUCUUAUCCACCUUCUAGGAGCUUCCAUACCGAAUUUGGGCUCCAUUGGAUAUGUUUUGUGUUGCCUUAGGCUCAUCUAAACCCAUACAGCCCAAAACUGCACUCCAUGCACAUGCCUUCACUUCAAAUAGCCAUAACACCCUCAAUUCUUACACGUUUCAGACCCAUUUUACCUUCACUUGUUAUUUGUUGUUUUCACUACUUAAAAACCAAAGUUGGGCUUGAAAUGACUACAUUUGGCUAAUCUACGGUCCACAUAAGUCCCAGAAGGUCCAAACUGUGCAAAAAGCUAGGCCCAUUCCUAUACCCUUACUUCAAAACUCAAUAACUUGCUCAAUUCUUAAUCGUUUUGGGUAACCUUGUGCUUCACAUUUUCCUCACAUAGGCAACUAUAACAUGGUUUUAGUUUGGGCUUUGUUUGAGUCCAUUUGGCCCACUUAUGGCCUAAACAAUCUCGAAUGGUAAAAAAUGUCCUUUAUGUGCAUGCCUUAUGGUUUGACCUCAUAUCUCCCAAUUUUGCUUCUAUGGACACUUUUAAUUUUCUACACACUUAUGUCUUAAUAUCGUGGCUAGUCCUCAACCAAAUUGAAGUGUCAAAUUCUGUGAGUUUUGGUCUUGGGACACAAAGCAAGCCUAAAGGGUCAAUUAGGACUUCUUAAGGGAUUUCUUCCUUCACAUGGGAGAUUUAUCUUUUGAUUGUUAAUCCAAUUACUCUCUCAUAUUCUUGAAGCAUCUUCUUACCUUCUAGAAUAUUGUUUUAAUCACAAGAAGCAUUCCUAGGCCUAGAGAACUAAGUUUCCUCAUUAAGAGAAAGUUCUCUUUUUAAGGGGUUCUUUUUACCCUAAUUUUAUCAUCUUCUCUCCAUUUGACUUGAAAUUUAGUCCUUAAUGUUAUUACAUUUCUCUACAUACAUGUACAUGCAUAAAUAGCCAUUCAAAACAUGAGAAAUUUUUCUAGAGAAAAUCUAGGUCAUUACAUCCUCCCUCCCCUUAAAAAUGAAUUUGAUCCUCCAAAUUCAACUACCCAAGGGUCACAAUAAGCUUGAAUCGUUGAUCUUCUUCUCAAUAGAUUGUUGAUCUCUAUUGUCUCCCUUUUCUUAAUGCACUGACUUAUUCAAUGACAACUUAUGGCAUUAUUUAAAAAAAAUGUGUCUUAACUAGUUCUUCACUAUUUAUUUCUGACUUACAGGUUACUGACAAUUUUACUAAGGCUUGAAACACUUGUCUCCUUAACUACUUGUAAAAUGGAUAUCUUCACUGUAUAUAGCUUAUAGUGAUUCUAUUGCAACACCUCAUGGAUAAUAGUCAUUCAUCCUCUUAGUAAUAAAAUCAUAACUCCUUAACUUUUGUUGGAAACCCAGUCUCAUGCUUAUAUUCUCUUGUGGUUCAUAAAUACUCUCAAGAUGGUUAAUUCUUUUCUAACUCCCAAAAUAAGAGAACAAUCAUUAGGAACUCGCUUUAAAAUCUCAUCACACCUCACAUAACUUCUCAUAAGGGUGAUACUACUAUCCUUAAAUUUAACGAGGUCUGGGUGGUGUGUAAAAAUACCUCGAUAAUUGAUCAAAUGCUCAUAGGGUCUUAAACCUUUAUAUAAUCAAGUAUGGAAUUGCCACAAUGUAUAUGGCUCUUAACUACUUCUACAUGACCAUAAAAUAAUUACUAUGUUUGUAUUUCCUAAGAUAUUAAGCUCCCACAAUCACGUCUAUACAUUUUCUAACUCUAGAAAUUAAUCUUAUGGAAAACAGUUUAGUACUUUCCUAAAUCAAGACCUUUUCUCCUUCUUCAAUGACUUGAUAUCCAAGCCACGUACUCUUUCUGAUUAAUUUGUAUGGAUCCUCAACUUAUCAAGGCUUAUUCUCUCCAUCCAAGUCUAUUAGGAUUUGAUCAUGACUCUUUGAUUUCUUACGGAAUCUCAUUCUUAGGCUUAUAGUUUUCUCUCAUAUAUUUCCAAAACGAGACAUCCCUUUUCUAACUUCCAAAAAUAUAAAGGAAUUUGUCUACACAUAGUAUCACAGUAAACUAUUAACCUCAAGUUUAUCGAGUAGGAUGACUCUAAAAAUCUUAAUAAUUUAUCGGGUUCUUCUAAGAUCUUUAAGUAUUGAACUCCUUAUUAUCGGGUCAUAUUAGGAUCCUUUGGCAGUGGGGUCCACCAAAGGUCUUGUUAAAAUCAAUUACACUGGAUAAUUGAUUCCAUCUCUCUAAGGUUAAGUAUUAUGCGCUCCUAAAGGUUUCAAAUGAUCACUCAUAGAGGGCACGAACACUAAAUCUUUAAUUUCUUAGGUGGUCUCCCCUAUUUUACCUUGUUCACUUGUUUGUAUCCACUCAAGAUAUCUAAGAAACGUAAAAGUUCGAGUUCGGUAGGAUCUUGAGUUAUGUCUGACAAUUUACUUCACUUAGAAAUGGAAAAUUGGUCCUAAUAGUUAUCGCACUAUUAGUUGUUGUUCUCUAAUAAUAUUUGCCUAUUCUCAUCCCGAAGGUUCAAAGGUAUCAUUUCAUUUAUUCAAGAAACUACUUUUACGAAUAUGGUUUGCUUAUAAUCCUCACAUGGGUGAUAAUAUACUUGAAUGGGAGGAUAAUCCUUAGAUUGGUGUUGUAACUUUUAUAGUUUAAACUAGUCCUUAGUAAUGGAGUAACAACAUUCUUUCCUAAUAUCUAGUCUUUCUUUGAUCAAUAAAAAUAACCCAUAUCCUCCAAAAUAAAUGUUUUAUUCACAUAAUCUAAGGAUCCAUAACAUUCAUUCUUCUAAGUUAUAACAAUGUUUGAUCUCAAUAUUAUCAAUAGAAUGUUUACUCAUAAUAUUUUCUCUCUCAACAUAUCAAGUUUUCUUCAACCUCUAACCAUAAAGGCUUAUACUUGUCUCACUUUAUAAUUUCUUUGGUGAGGGCAACUCUUUUAAAUCUCAAGGUUCAAUCAUAUAAAACUCCUCUUCACUUCUCAAAACACUCAUCCCAAGAUUCGUUCUUCAUUAGAUCCAUCAAAAUUCCGUGGGUAUCUAAAAUAUCUCGCCUAAGUCUUUCACUAUACGCAUGAGUCCUUUGAGAUUCUAUUCAGUCCUAUCUUUUGGACCUUGUAUGUAGGCUUUCUCCUUGGUCUCACUAUUUCCAACUCUUGAAUACUUUAGGGUUAAGAGAGGGUUCCUACUAUAUUUUACUAUACUCAUUCUAAGUUCCACUACACUUUUUAGGGUCCGUGUAACCCUAAACCUUGUAUUCAAUGGGUGUCUUAGAACCGUGCUUUGAUACCACCAAUCGCAACCCAGCCCCUCUUCUUCUUGGGGCAUGUUCGGAGCACACUUACAUAUAACAAAAAUUAACUUUCAUUAAUAUACAGAGUACACAGAAGUAUUAUAUCCCUUAAAUAAUGUACAUCAGCUAUAAAACAAUACAAGGCUCCAAAAUUUUUCUUCUAUACAAUGCAAAGGCACAAACU